GAAUCGGGCUGGUAAAACCCGUCUGGCUAAGUGGUAUAUGCAUUUUGAUGAUGAUGAAAAACAGAAACUAAUUGAAGAAGUGCAUGCUGUUGUUACUGUCCGUGAUGCUAAACACACUAAUUUUGUAGAGGUAUUCUAUGUGAUACUAGCACUUGUACAUACAAUACCCAUUAUAUGAAUAAACAAACAAUUAUUUUUUAAGUGUCUCUUAUACAAAAUUUUAUAGUAAUGCAAUAUAAUUCUUGAAAAAAGUGGACACAGUAAGUUUCAAGUGGUGAUCGAAUCAUAAAAAUGCUGAAACAUCAACUUGAAACUAAGCACACUUAUUACAAUUUGAAAUACAUGUAUAUAAAAAAAAUGCAAAAUAAAGAUUUUGAUGCUCAUUUUAUGGUUCCCUAAACAUAGAAAUGUUGUUGACACUUUUAAUUGUUAUAAACAUGAAGAUGUGGUAUGAUUGCCAAUGAGACACCUCACCACAACAGACCAAAUAACAUAGAAAUUAACAAAUAUUUGUCACCUUAUAAUAUAACCUUCAACAAUGAUUGCCCAUACUGUGAAGUCAGCCACAAAGACUCCGAAAUGACGCAAAUGUGAAACAAUUUAAGCGAGAAAACUAAAGGCCAAAUGUAUUUACAAAAUAAUGAAUAACAAUGAAUGCUUAACAGUAGUUGUGAUUUUCAAAUGUAUAAGAUUUUUUUAUCUAUAGAUAUACCUGUGUAUAAUAUUAAUAUGUAUGUUGUUUUUUUACAGUUUAGGAAUUUUAAGAUUGUGUACAGAAGAUAUGCUGGUUUAUAUUUCUGUAUCUGUGUUGAUGUAAACGACAACAAUCUGGCUUAUUUAGAGGCAAUACACAACUUUGUAGAAGUGCUUAAUGAAUAUUUCCAUAAUGUCUGUGAAUUAGAUCUUGUAUUCAACUUUUAUAAGGUAAAGUAUUUAUAUUGUGUCUCAAAGUUUAACCUUCAUUUUGGAUUCAAAAUUAUAAAUGUUGAAUAAUUAUUAAUUGAGUAGUAAUGACAGUAUUGAAAUUUGUGAUCUUCGUUUUGUUCCUUUGCUUCCUCAACCAAUAAAGCUUGUCACCAUGAUUUUGCUGAAAGUGAUGUUAAACACUAACAAUCAAUCUAUCAAUCUUAUCUUAUCUUUAUGAUGUUGUAACUGACAGAACAAGCCAUACAAUUACAGAAUGGACAUUUUGAAGUUUCAACUACAUUGUUUUUAUUUUCUAUCUUCUGUGGGUUUUUUUUAGACCUUGCUCCCUUAGGUUUAUGGUCAAGUGACUUUCAAUCAAAUUCAAUUAUGUUUCCUGCUUGAGUUAGUGUGAUAGGAUUUAAAAAUAAGAUAGACAAUGCUAUUUUCUAUAAAGUUGCAUUAAUUAAUAUCAUGACACAGUUAUAAGAAAGUGUGGUAUUAGUGCCAAUGAGACAACUCGCCUUUCAAUUCAUAAUUAGUAAAAAGUAAACCAUUAUAGGUCAAAUUAAGACCUUCAAUACAGAGUCUUGGCUGACAACAAACAGCAAGCUAUAAAGCCCCCCAAAAAUGACUAGUGAGUAGUGUAAAACCAUUCAAACAUUAAAACCAACGUUUAAUCUAUAAAAAAAAUAUGUAUAAACCACAUCAAUGUACGACAACCACUGAACAAUAGGUUCCUGACUUAGGUCACAGGUGCAGUUGGUUUAAAUGUUGAAAGUCUCAGUUUGUCAACCAUUUUGAAGCCCUGUUACCUAGUUCAUGAUCCUGCAGCUUUGAUUUAAUUAGCAAUGUUGCUAUCCAUCCGAUGUCUUUUCCUGAAUUUUCUGCUGACAAACAUGACAUAUAUCUCUGUGUCAACAGUUUAUUUAAUUGUUUUUAACAUAUUUUGUUUUAUUUUCAGGUUAUAGUGUGGUGGAUGAGAUGUUUUUAGCUGGAGAAAUUAGAGAGACAAGUCAAACAAAAGUUUUAAAACAACUUCUUAUGUUAUCAUCAUUAGAGUAAUUACUAUGUUAUAGGACUUAAAAUAAAUAUAGACCAAAGUGUUGUAGACAGAGAUGUUAUGCUUGAUAUUGUGUAUGAUUUUAUAACUAUGAACUUUAUAAUAGUUGGUUGUUUUCAGAAAUGUUACAAUAAUCAGCUAUUUAGAUUAAUGUCUUAGUCCACAUGUAAAAAUCUAAUUAUGUUUCUGAAGACAGCAUUUGAGUUUAAGGUAAAGAAUUUGCCUAAAAAAUGGAUAAAACUAGAUGUGAUUAGAGUGAAAAGUGUAGUUUUUAUUUUGUUGUAAAGUGAUCAUUAUAAUAUCCAAAUGUUGUUUUGUUGAGAAAUGAUAAUAAUGAGAACGUUCAUAGAUAUUGUUCAAAUGAAUGAUACAUUCCAAAUCACCUAAUUAUUGUUAAUGAAGAUACAGAAUAUUAUUGCAUCCUCAAGCAUGGUUUUGUGUUCAUGCUUUAUUUGAACAUAUAUAUAUAUAUAUAUAUAUAUAUAUAUAUAUAUAGUAUAUAUAUAUAUAUAUAUAGUCAAACCUGUUUAAGAGACCACCUGUAUUCAUCCAAAACUUGUGUUAAAAGACCACCAAUUUUAGAUCCCUCUAAAGUACCUUUCAUAUAAAUUGAAUCUGUAAUAAAAGACCACCUGUCUUUAAAAGACACAACUUUUUUACUCUCCCUUCAAUGGUCUCUUAAAACAGGUUUGACUGUAUAUACUUAUCAGAAAGGAAAAAUAGGAAAACAAAAUCUAAUUGCCGCUAAGAAAAAUUUAUUAGACCCUUAUAGAAGUAAAUUAAGGCAUUUUGGUGAGAAACUGAAGAGGCCUCUGAAUAAAUUGCAUAAAUCCCUAUAUACAUGAAACACUAUUAAUGUUAAAUACUCAUUUAUUCAUUAUCUUUAUGAGUAUUGAUAUAUCAAUUAUAAAUUAGAGGUACAAAACUGUUCUUAUAUUUAUGAUAACAAAGGUGAAAUAAAACCAGAGUUUUUUUUGCCUCUGGUAUUUGCUGCAAUGGUUUAUUGUCAUAACUGCAGCAUUAUAAAUACAUGUAGUACCAUAAAAUGGGAAUGUGCAAUGUACAUCCUGAAAAUAAAGUAUGUAAACAUA
rnacentral:lncRNA from 1 species